AUUGAACGCUGGCGGCAUGCCUUACACAUGCAAGUCGAACGGCAGCACGGGGCAACCUGGUGGCGAGUGGCGAACGGGUGAGUAAUGUAUCGGAACGUACCAUCGAGUGGGGGAUAACGUAGCGAACGUUACGCUAAUACCGCAUAUUCUCUCCGGAGGAAAGCAGGGGACCGCAAGGCCUUGCGCUCUUUGAGCGGCCGAUAUCGGAUUAGCGAGUUGGUGAGGUAAAUGCUUACCAAGGCGACGAUCUGUAGCGGGUCUGAGAGGAUGAUCCGCCACACUGGAACUGAGACACGGUCCAGACUCCUACGGGAGGAAGCAGUGGGGAAUUUUGGACAAUGGGGGCAACCCUGAUCCAGCCAUGCCGCGUGAGUGAAGAAGGCCUUCGGGUUGUAAAGCUCUUUCGGCCGGGAAAAAAUCGCAUGGGCUAAUACCCUGUGUGGAUGAUGGUACCGGAAUAAGAAGCACCGGCUAACUACGUGCCAGCCGCCGCCGUAA
rnacentral:rRNA from 1 species